UCUCCAAGCUACUCCAAUGUUCUGAAACCUUCUACGAUAUUCUAAACUCUUUCGAAUUUCUUUAGACCUUUCUAGAGUCUACUAGAUCUUUCCGGAGUCUUUUAGUUUAUUCAACAUGUGUAGUUGAUGGCUUGGAUAAUUCUAGAAGAGUCAACGAUGAUGACUUUUAAUAGAUCAUGCAGGUCCUUCAAGAGGAAAACUUCAGUAUAAUCCGUCACAUGCUUGAGUUUGAGUCACGUAUCAUCUUUGACAUCAACCAUUUUGAGGUAAAGGUGUUUAAUGGGAAUUGGGAUGAUGCUAAGGGAUACCUUUCUUUAUUCUGCAAAUUAGAAGACAGUGAUGAUUCUAAGAAAAUCUUCUUUGAAAUGCAGAAGCCGAAGUUUUUUGAGGCAUUUGAUAAGCAAGAUAUUCACAAGGCUGGAGAAAUUCUCAUAAACCAACUGAAAUUUUUUGCCUAAUUUGAUUGUUAUGAACAAGAGCUCAGCAAAAUGGUCUUUGCUGGCAAAUACUGAUUUCAGGUUUGAGCUAAAAAAAUACCAUUUUAAUUAUCCUGUUACUUUGAUUGCCUUUAUUAUGACUGAAUGAUAUUGUCUUAGUUAUGCUUGUAAUGGUACUACUGUAGAGAACACAAGAAAGAAAUUGAUAAGCCAGCUCAAGAUCAUCUUUCAAAGUAAUGACACUAUCAAACAGAAGCUGCAUACCCCUGAAUUAGAGAAGUAAAAGUUAUGGUAUUUCCUUAGCCAAGGGUAAUAUUCCUUUCAUUGAAAAAAGGUUUAGUGAUAUACAAAAUGAUUUGGAAAGCGGAUUUAUAAAAUGCAGAAAUCUCAUUGUUUCCCAUGUAAGUACAAACAAUCAACCGGAAAGAGUUGCAUCUCAGUCUCAACAUUUACUAAGGCUUGUGAUGUUCUUGAUUGGAUUGAUUCUGAAUCUAUUAACUGCAAAUGGCACAAUCUCAUAUUCUAACAAGAGGCCCACCACGAGUCUUGUUUCAAUUAUCCGAACUGUUCAAUGUGUAGAGUUCGUCGAGUACUUUAUCUCUGUCAAAAAUCACAUUGAUCUGAUAUCAAUAGCUACUUUGAUUGGAUCAGAUUUUGUCAACAGUAAAUAUAAUUUUCAAAAUAAAUUGUUGCCAACAAGAAGUAUUCGGAUAUUUUGCAGAGGAUGUUGCCAACUCCUAGUCAAACAAAUACGUGGACAGGGUCUCUUCAAAUUCUGUCCAUGGAAAUAUUGAUCAUUUGGAAACAUUCACACUCCCAGUAUAUGACUUCAUUAGUUCUUAUUUUUCAUGUACUUAUUCUUCAUAUUUGAGGUUAUACAUUCUUGAUGCUUCAAGCUCCUUAAGUAAAAAUUAUUGAACAAAGUGAGGUAAAUCUUGAAGACCAGUUUGAAAUGAACAUCAAUCAGGUGUCUUCAUCCCAUGCUAUAAUGUACAACAGCAAUACAAAUAUGCAAGGAAAUAACAACUGAAAUUAGAGAACCUCGCUUAGGAAUGACAAAAACAGAACUACGAAAAUAGGGGAAUUUGGUUUCUAUGCCUUGCUAAUUUUAAAUUUAUGUUAGAUGAUGUUAGAUGUUGAGGUUUUACUUACUCCACUCAUUUCUAUAUACACACAAGCUUGCAAUCUUAUUUUAUAUUGGCCGAACAAGAAAUGUUGUUUCUGAUUCUCUUCUCUCGUGAGUAAUGUAGAUUCUGAGGUUGAUUU